ACCAGACUCCUACGGGAGGCAGCAGUGGGGAAUAUUGGGCAAUGGGCGCAAGCCUGACCCAGCAACGCCGCGUGAAGGAAGAAGGCUUUCGGGUUGUAAACUUCUUUUCUCAGGGACGAAGAAAGUGACGGUACCUGGGGAAUAAGCCACGGCUAACUACGUGCCAGCAGCCGCGGUAAUACGUAGGGGGCAAGCGUUAUCCGGGUUUACUGGGGGUAAAGGGGGCGCAGACGGCGAUGCAAGCCAGGAGUGAAAGCCCGGGGCCCAACCCCGGGACUGCUCUUGGAACUGGGUGGCUGGAGUGCAGGAGGGGGAGGCGGAAUUCCUGGUGUAGCGGUGAAAUGCGUAGAUAUCAGGAGGAACACCGGUGGCGAAGGCGGCCCGCUGGACUGCAACUGACGUUGAGGCCCGAAAGCGUGGGGAGCAAACAGGAUUAGAUACCCUCGUAC
rnacentral:rRNA from 1 species